GGGAUAAACGCUGGCGGCGUGCCUAAUACAUGCAAGUCGAGCGGCAGCGCGGUCUUCGGACUGGCGGCGAGCGGCGGACGGCUGAGUAACACGUAGGAACGUACCCCAAAGUGAGGGAUAAGCACCAGAAAUGGUGUCUAAUACCGCAUGUGCUCUAAGGAGUAAAGCUUCGGCGCUUUGGGAACGGCCUACGCAUGAUUAGCUUGUUGGUGAGGUAAUGGCUCACCAAGGCGACGAUCAUUAGCUGGUCUGAGAGGAUGAUCAGCCAGACUGGGACUGAGAACGGCCCAGACUCCUACGGGAGGCAGCAGUAGGGAAUUUUCCACAAUGGGCGAAAGCCUGAUGGAGCAACGCCGCGUGCAGGAUGAAGGCCUUAGGGUUGUAAACUGCUUUUAUGUGUGACGAAUAUGACGGUAGCAUAUGAAUAAGGAUCGGCUAACUCCGUGCCAGCAGCCGC
rnacentral:rRNA from 1 species